UUUUCUGGAGAGUCUUCCUUUUGGAGUUUUCUACUGCGAGCCUAGGAUAUGGGAUGAUUCAAUUUUGUGGCAAGAUUGCAGAUUUUGCUUCCUAACAACUUUAUCUCUCUUAGUAAGGAGCUAAAACAGAGGAAUGUUUCAAAACAAGGGCAGAGUAAAUUAUGUAGAAGAUCUGAGUACUACCAAGAAACCGAAGAAUCAAAGAAUGCAGCAAGUUAUUAUUCAGGGUUGACUUAGACACAAAAUAAUUGGUGGCAUUCAGAGAGCAUCACUAUGAGUUCUUCCUACUACAUGCCUGGAAAUGACAUCUCAUCUGGACUACACCCAAACAGGAAAUCAAGUAUAAUGUAUAUUCCACGUGGAUGUGCAGGCAGGGAGAUAACAGGAUCAUGGAAAGCAAGUGUUUUUUUUUUUUUUCACAAGGCUUUAGAUCCCAUGAAAACAGAAUCAGAUGGACAGCAUCAUAAAUAUUAUAGCAUGGAAUAAGCUCACAGCUGGGAAGAACAGCCAGAUAUGGAAGAUGUCAAGCAUUCCUUGGGCCCACCAUAAACAAAUCAGCCUAGAUGUAAGGACUGAUAGAUUCUGAUGAUCCAAAAGUAAUGUCUCUUUUUGUUAAUGUUGGCCCAUGACUCAAGAGGUUAGUGGUAUGGCAGUAGAGAUUAAAACAACAUAAGGGAUGAAUGUUGGUUGUAUGGUAAUAGAGAUUGAAUCUGUCAGUUGAUAUUCUAUUAUUUUGUUGUCAUGUGAUGGAUGGCAGCAGAGGGACAGAUUGAUAAAAUGGUGUCUGACAUGGUAAUGUAUAAGCAAAGGUGUGUCUCUGAAUUCCUCCAUGUGGGAGAAAUUGCAUACAGUUGCAGCAGGUCAGCUCCGCUGAUGCAGAUUCUUAUGAGCGUGGCAUGCGUGCUCUUGUUCAUCAUUGACAAACAUGCAUAGUUAAUGGUGGUGACU